UCCCAUCUUUCCCCACCCCACCAUGAAACAUAGUAGGAUGGGGGAAGAUAGGACAC
rnacentral:miRNA from 1 species